rnacentral:rRNA from 1 species
AGUGAACGCUGGCGGUAGGCCUAACACAUGCAAGUCGAACGGCAGCACAGUAAGAGCUUGCUCUUACGGGUGGCGAGUGGCGGACGGGUGAGGAAUACAUCGUAAUCUACUUUUUCGGGGGGGAUAACGUAGGGAAACUUACGCUAAUACCGCAUACGACCUACGGGUGAAAGCAGGGGAUCGUCGGACCUUGCGCGAUUGAAUGAGCCGAUGUCGGAGUAGCUAGUUGGCGGGGUAAAGGCCCACCAAGGCGACGAUCCGUAGCUGGUCUGAGAGGAUGAUCGGCCACACUGGAACUGAGACACGGUCCAGACUCCUACGGGAGGCAGCAGUGGGGAAUAUUGGACAAUGGGCGCAAGCAUGGUCCAGCCAUACCGCGUGGGUGACGAAGGCCUUCGGGUUGUAAAGACCUUUUGUUGGGAAAGAAAAGCAGCAGGUUAAUACGCAGCUGUUCUGACGGUACCCAAAGAAUAAGCACCGGCUAACUUCGUG